AGUUAUAAACUAUAUAUAUUAUAAAUUAAUAAUUUAUUUACCCUUGAAGUCUAACGAUUAAAAAUAGAACAUAAUUCAAUAUAGAUAUAUGAUUCUAUUAAUAAAUUAGCAGUUACAAAUUUGAAAUUUCUAGAAAUAUCAAAAGUCGUAUGUUAGUUAAUUAUCUUCUAAAUGACUAUUUCUAAUUAUUUUUGGAUGAGAAUAUUUUGGUUGAGGUGGAUAAUCACAAAAACCUUGAAUUUAGUCAUUUUUAUAUAGUAGGAUUAAUCUGGUAUAUGUUUCGCUUCAGUCACGUGUUCGAUUUUUAAAGCAUUUGUUAAGUUCUUAAACCAAACAUACCUCCUAUGUAUUGGUUCUCUAUGUACUGAAGAAUAUAAUGAUUUUGACGUUUAAUAUAAAGCUCUUUCUGUACUGGCGUAUUUUUCUGUUAAAUGUAUAUAUAUACCCUUUAGUUGUGGUUUCGUCUGUUUCAUUCUUUAUGAAUAAUUUUUGUAAGGUUUCUGAAAGUUGUCCAUAUUGUUGGUAAAUUCUAAGUGAGAGAUCUUUAAAGGCAAACUUCUUACUAAAGAGUAUAGUUUAACACUCAUCUUCCUAUGCAUGCGUUUAAUUGGGGAAAAGUUGGACUCGAAGAAGAUGUGGAAUGACCAGAACAAAAAGUUCUGAAGAGAAAUCUGAUAAGAACACAAUUUCAAUUUGUCCUUAUCAACCUCAUCGAAAAAUUCCAAGGCAUAUCAUUAUAUGUAUGAUCUACAUAUCUGAAUUACAAGUACAAACAUAAUAUCUUUAUAAUAGAACAUGCCCACUUAUUGAAGUGUAAUACAUGCUUUUGAGUUUUGAAUGGUAUAAUCUGUUUAAUUAUCUUGCUCUUUGUUAAAAAGAUACUACAAAAAAAUCAGAAUAAGAAAGAAAUCAACAAUGAGUUCAUCAUCAUGUUUGUGUAGUUAGUUAUUUGAUUCAGCGAUCCUUGUAUCUUGUCAUGAAAAGCUAACUUAAUAGACGAGGCGAAGGAGGGCAUGAAGAGUGAACAUCCUGGCAAGCGGAAGGAAAACAUUUUCCUUUAUUGCUACACUUCUUUCCGGGUAUUCGGAAGUCUUGUAAUUUAUGUUGUCGACUCCUUGUCAAAAUCAUAAAACUGAAACAGUCUAUUUGUGGUUAUGAAAUUAUGUUUUUUUUAAAUUGUACUGGUUGCAUCAGUUUUAUGGUAUAAUUUGACUCUUUAAAGAACAUACAAAUGACAAUUGACGUACAAUGAUGAAAGCUUUGAUUCAUAAGCUAGUAGUCAUCUAAAACAUUUAUAACACAUAACUAAAAAAUGGUUUCAAUUAAAAUCCAGCAAAAACAACUAAUGAUAUUUGGAGAUUGUAAUUCUUUCGUAGAAAAUUACAUAUCUGAGGAUUAUCAAAAAAAAAAAAAAUUACAUAUCUGAGAUUUAGUUAAUUACGUUGAAAAUAUAUGUUGUUAAUAAAUUUUAUAUUGUUUACACUAAC